ACUUCGUACGGUUUGUGGUGGAAAGUCUUUUGCGGUGUGGGAUGGGCCCGCGGCCUAUCAGCUUGUUGGUGGGGUAAUGGCCUACCAAGGCGACGACGGGUAGCCGGCCUGAGAGGGUGUCCGGCCACACUGGGACUGAGAUACGGCCCAGACUCCUACGGGAGGCAGCAGUGGGGAAUAUUGCACAAUGGGCGCAAGCCUGAUGCAGCGACGCCGCGUGAGGGAUGACGGCCUUCGGGUUGUAAACCUCUUUCAAUAGGGACGAAGCGCAAGUGACGGUACCUAUAGAAGAAGCACCGGCCAACUACGUG
rnacentral:rRNA from 1 species